CAGUAGCCGCGGUAAUACCGAGGGUGCGAGCGUUAAUCGGAUUUACUGGGCGUAAAGCGUGCGUAGGCGGCUUUUUAAGUCGGAUGUGAAAUCCCUGAGCUUAACUUAGGAAUUGCAUUCGAUACUGGGAAGCUAGAGUAUGGGAGAGGAUGGUAGAAUUCCAGGUGUAGCGGUGAAAUGCGUAGAGAUCUGGAGGAAUACCGAUGGCGAAGGCAGCCAUCUGGCCUAAUACUGACGCUGAGGUACGAAAGCAUGGGGAGCAAACAGGAUUAGAUACCCCCGUAGUCCCUGUCUCUUAUAC
rnacentral:rRNA from 1 species